UGGGGAAUUUUGCACAAUGGGCGAAAGCCUGAUGCAGCGACGCCGCGUGGAGGAUGAAGGCCCUUCGGGUUGUAAACUCCUUUUGUAGGGGACGAUGAUGACGGUACCCUGCGAAUAAGCCACGGCUAACUCUGUGCCAGCAGCCGCGGUAAGACAGAGGCGGCGAGCGUUGUUCGGAAUCACUGGGCUUAAAGGGCGCGCAGGUGGUAGUGCAAGUCUGGGGUGGAAUCCUAUGGCUUAACCAUAGAAUUGCCUUGGAAACUGUAUUACUUGAGUCAGUGAGGGGAGGGUAGAAUUCCUGGUGUAGCGGUGAAAUGCGUAGAUAUCAGGAGGAAGGCCUGUGGGCGAAGGCGGCCCUCUGGCGCUGAACUGACACUGAGGCGCGAAAGCGUGGGGAGCAAACAGGAUUAGAUACCCUGGUAGUCCAACGCCCUAAAACGGUGGGUACUAGGUGUAGGGCUCGUAAGGGUUCUGUGCCGAAGCGAAAGCAUUAAGUACCCCGCCG
rnacentral:rRNA from 1 species